UGAAUGCCACCUUCCUUAACAAUAGUCUUUUGUUCAUUUUAAAUCUGAAAUUUUUGUUGUGGUAAAAUUUUGAAUUUAUAUUAAAACUUUAAGCUUUUUCCCCCUAGCUAUUAAUAGAAGCAAACUCUUGCUGUUUGUUUAUGACAGAACACACAUGCAGGACUUGAAAGAUGUUACUAAUAAUGUCCACUAUGAGAACUACAGAAGCAGAAAACUUGCAGCUGUGACUUAUAAUGGAGUUGAUAACAACAAGAAUAAAGGGCAGCUGACUAAGAGCCCUCUGGCACAAAUGGAAGAAGAAAGAAGGGAGCAUGUAGCUAAAAUGAAGAAAAUGGAGAUGGAGAUGGAGCAGGUGUUUGAGAUGAAGGUCAAAGAAAAAGUUCAAAAACUGAAGGACUCUGAAGCUGAGGUAAUCAGUCUAAUAUUCCAUCUCUUAGCAGACAUUGGGUUCCUUUUUUAAGUAGUAUCUUCAGUAAAAUUUAUAGAUAAUAUAAUCUUUUUAUACAUAUUUUUUCAAAGUUAAUACCCUAGUGUAACAAAACGGAGAAAUUUCU
rnacentral:sRNA from 1 species